CGACCCCAGGUCAGGUGAGACUACCCGCUGAGUUUAA
rnacentral:rRNA from 2 species